rnacentral:lncRNA from 1 species
AUCUAAUGCCACAAGUGUCUUUAGAUUAUUCUCUCAUUGCCUCCCCUCUGAUUUUUUCUUACCUUCUUUCCAUUUCUGUCUUCCCUCCCCACUUCGAAUGUUCUUAUCUAUCCUUUUAUUCACAGUUCCUUAGGUCAGCCACAUCUGGGAUAUUCAAACUUUCUGGACUGGCCUCUUAUUUGGGUAAGAAACAGGAUUACCUGUCAUUCUCUCUUCUUUUUACCCAUGUUUUAGAACCUGCUAUUGGAUAAUUGCAUUGUUUAUUCUGUGUCUUUAGAAAGUCUGUAAGAGUAAGACCACUGGAAUCAGAAUAAAGAGCCCUACUUUCCACCCCCACACUUCUGUUUCUUCUUUUUUUUUUUUUUUUUUUUUUUUUUUGAGAUGAGUCUCGCUCUGUCAGCCGAGGUGGGCGGAUCACCCUGGCCAACAUGGCAAAACCCCAUCUCUACUAAAAAUACUUCCAUUUCUUAAAUAGCUGGGAAAAGCAAUUUUUAGCCAUUAGUUUCCUCAUCUGUAAAAUAAAUAAGUUAAACUAAAUUUCCAUUAAGUUUCCUUCCUGUUGUAAAAUGCUAUGAUUCUCAAUGGAAAAAAAAAAGACCCAUAUUUAAACUUAGGUUAUUCAAGGAAAAUGAAUUAAUUUUGUUUCAGGCACCAGCAAAGAUUCUUCUAUUUUGUAAGAGGAAAUAAUAGAAAACACUCAUAUCAGGUAUUCAUUC